CUGCUGCAGGAAGGCGGCGGCCGCCGCCGCCGCCUGGUGUUGGUGCUGGAGCUGGGGGCUCACAGGGGAUCUCCGGUUCUGCUGCUGCUGCUGCUGCUGCUGCUGAGGCUGUGGAAGAGAACAGAAAGCCCUCAUUGCCCUCAACAUGUUCCUCACACUUCCAGCUCUGUAUUAAGGCAAUGACUAAAAUAAAGUCUCAUGCUUCAGGGCUACAGCUGGCUGCCUGCAAAAGACUGGAGAGUCAUUUCCUAGCUGAAUUCUGGAUUUUUUGAUUUCAUUUUCUCUGAAGCAUUACAGACAAGCAUACCUGGUCAUCCAGCCUUGGAAAGAGUGGUCCAGUUCUCUGAGGUGAAGAGGAAUUCCCUGCUUUAGAUAGUGACUUAUCUUCCAACUGGCUGGGUGAUCGGACAAGUUCUCCCUGAAUCAAGAUGGGAUCAACAUCUGGGAAAGAAGCACAGGUUACAGUGAUUUUGUUGUGCUGAUACAUCCUUCCCUCCCUCCUCACUCCUGAUACAAUCGACACUGUUGGACAACUGGGGUAAGCUCCAGGCAUCACUGGGUGCACAGCAGGAUUGCUGUUGACUUCACUGCUGGUCAGGAUGCUACCUCGUACCCAGCUGCUGUUUAGUAGAAGCUCUUUCUACAUUUUGGCAUUGACUACCCAUUGGUUCUGACUUGUAUAGCCCUGGAUUAUUAGUAGCUUAUUGGAAAAGCUGUUUUUCCCUCCCUAUGUAAAGUAUGUUCAAGCACAGAACUUUUAAUUUCAUUAGUAAAAGCUCCAUGGUUUGGGGGCUUUCAUUUCUUUCACCAAGCCUGAAGUAAUUUGGGUUAGUUGAUUGCCAGGAAAAACUUUGGUUGUUGUCUAUUGUCAUGGACUGUAGCGUGUACUCAAUCUGAAACUGGUGUAUGUUUAUUUCAUUAGUACAAAUUUUAGCAUGUGAUAUGGAAACAAGGAACUGCGGGCAUCUUUUCUAAGAAUUGUUUUGUUUUUUUUUUAUGGUGAAAGGGCCUAGAGCACCAGAUUGUCGCACUUGUCUUGUGUAUAAAUCCAAAUAGAUAAAAUGUAAGUGCUCUAUUUAUUUUGUGUAGUUUUAAAGAUCCUGUGUGUUGGCAGGUAGGCAUAACUUGCAUCAAGAUAAGUUUUAAAAUAGAAAUUCAUGUCUGGAUACAUAUUCUGCAACAACACUUUUAGUUUGUAAUUAUUGCCUGAUGCAUUUAAUACUUCUGUGCCCUUCAACUCUGUAACAGUGUCUCAUGGGAAGUAACUGAUUAAUUCAUUUAAUUCAUCCGAAAAGGCACAGGAAAUUUUAUGUCAUCCAAAAUUGUACACUUGCACAUCUAAUAGAAAAAAUAUAAUACUUUUCUGCCUAUUCCAUAUCGUAUUACUCAGAAGAAUAUAAGAAGCACUCACAAAUCUGGAAUCUCAGUCAAAGUAGUUUUCACGUUGUUUCCUAUCCUGCAUAAAACCUUCCAACAGCCACAUAAGGAAUUUACUCGUGAAAAACUCCAACAGCCAUAUGCCAAGUCAUUCUAAGCUAACAAGUAAUCCAAUAAACCUUCACUUCGCAGCAACACAAAUUUUAUCUCUACAAGUAAAUUCAGUAUCCUUUGAAGGAAGAGAAGAGUAUUCUACCUUGCUUUUCAAACAGACUAGCACCUGUAUCGCUUUGGACAAAAAGCUGCCUGGCUCCAUGUAGACUCUUUCUAAAAUGUGGGGAUCAGCAUACUUUUUUUGUACGAGUUUGUUAUAUACUUUCAACGAGACCUUUUCUUUGUGCCACUAGACAUAUGGCACUCCGUGACCAUCCUUAGGAUUCUUGAAAUGUAAGGAGUAUGCAAUGUUAGUAUCUUGGCAAUCCUCAUUCCACAUUUCUCACCAGCUAGCAGCACUGUUCAUGUUUACUGCCACAUGUUAAGGACAUAAUAGCCACGUUCCUUUUUACAUCUACAGAGUUGUAGGAUGUUAUAUCUCUAUCUGAGACAUUAUAAUUCCAACUUUCCUGCUAGUGAUGGUUUUGCAUCUUCAGUAUAAGGCUGAGACUUACAGAUAAAGUUUGGGCUUUAUUUUGGCCAUUGGCCAUCUGUAAUGUUUGCAUACUGAAGUAAUUCAAGCAAAAUAUGAAGCAACUGAAGCUUCUGCCAAAAGCUAAUGUGAAAACAAGUAUUUGAGGUUUUACACAUCCAAGCUUCUCCUGUUUCUCAGUUUCUAAUACUUAGUGUACUUGGUGGCUUUUGGAAGGGUCAGAAAGCACAAAAACUAAAAUACAUAGGACCGUUUCAGUUACAAUUAUGAUUUUCCCUAGACUGGAAAUCUCAAAGCAACCUGUUCUAAUGGCGACAGGAAAUGGCUGAGAACUUUGUAUGACUUUUUGCAUACUAGUAAUGGUAGUGUAAUUUAGGGGAGGGCCAAAGUAAUAAUUGCGCAGAACAGGAGGUACAGACUAGUCAGAAAAGAGUUUUGUAAACAAUGCAUGUUAUAUUUUGCCUGAAUGUUGAUAGUACUUUAUUAGCUGGCCACAGAAGCAGUGGGUAGCAGGGUAAAACAGGAGUGACAUAAGAACAAGUGAGGUAGCUGUGGCAAGUUAAAAUCAAGAAAUUUCUCAUAUUUGCCCACUAAACUAAUCUAAAAAACACCCAACAAUGGAACAGUUAAUGAAAAUAUUACAACACCUAGUUUCAGGUUGACUUGCUAAAGAUAUUUCUGGCAAAUAAGGUAGUUGCAGAAAUCAUUUAACACAUCUCCACACAUUAGUGUUUAAAUGGCAUAGAAGAAACAGGACAGGAUACUUGGGGUGGGGCAGUUACAGUAAAUUUUUCUCCCACAAAGAGUCUCACCAAAACAAGAUUCUAGCCCGACAAUAAGGGACAGCAGUGUAGUCCUUGUUCCUUACCCGAGUGCACCGAGCCGUGCGUCUCACGAUGCUUUUCUUUCAGAUGACAGGUUGUCUAGCAGGCAGAUCCCACAGCAUGAGAAAGAUGGGUGGUAUUUACCUUAGCUAAUCUGUCUGGCUAUAAAGCUCAACGAUUACCCACCACUGGGUCAAAGAGCAAAGCAAUGAACGCUUUGCCUACGUUUACUGGUCUUCAUGUCUACCUUUCUCCAGUGAUGCACCAUUAAAAGUGCAAAUCAGAAAGGUACCAGAGCAGGGAUUAUAACAUGUCCUGGAAAUGUGACAAUUUCACACUUCAUAAUUAAAUUGUCAGAGCGAUUAAAGAGGAGUUGCUUUUAUAAAGUGAAAAUGAGGAAUACAGUGUUGUAAGAGAUAAUCUGCCUUUUAUUAGAUCAUCUUGAAAUAAAAGACCUGAAAUACACAUUCCUGUGUUUGUAUUGGAUAAAAUCCUAUCCAACAUUUGUGAUGUGGUAUGUGAAUGCUGGAUGGAAAUAAGGUGAUUUACAUUUAUUGUAUGGCAUGUAGUGUAAUGAUCACCUAGAAAAGCUUUCCUUUGUCAUGAUUUAAAAGUAGAUCAUAUAGUGCCAAAGAAAAUACAAAAAUAACAGAUUUUGUGGAUGAGUCUAAGUAUUUGUGCAUAUAUAUUAGCUUAUCGUGCUUACAGUUUCUGGCAAGAUAGAAGAGGAGAUAUUUAUUCUCGAGCUGACUUUAAAGUAUUUAUUUUUUGGAAUGUUGUUUAAGAAAAUUGAUACUUCCAAGGAAUUGGAACUAGAAGAUUAAGAGUUUUCUAAAACACCCACCCAUUCUUUUUGAGCUUUUUUUCCAGCCAGCUAUGUGUACUUAAAUGACAGGGGAACUCAAAAUUGUUAAAAGUAUGUAUGCUUUUGCAUAGUCAAUAAUUUCUAACUGCAUCUAUAAAUCAUAGUAUUUACAUUCCCAAUCUCUGUAUAUUUGCUCACACAUCUGACUAUAUUAAAAAGAAGAGAAUAAAGGAGUUGCAAAGGCCAAGUAUAAUCUCUAUCUGUAUAUAUAUAGUAUAAACUUUUUAUGUAAGUAAGUGGUGAUUUUUCCUUAAUACUUGUCUUUUUUGUGCUUUGGUUUUCUAAAUCAGAGUGCUUCUGAUCAGGCUGUCUGUGUUUGAUGGUAGAGAGCUCCAUGAAGAGAGAUUGUAAGUAAUGCUUUCCAGAGCAGUCAACAGCCUGUGGGGCAGAAUGCUCAUUUGGGUAAUGAGAUAAUAUCACGAUCAGGUCUUACGCAGAAAUCUCCAACAUCAGAGAAACAAUCACGCUACUUGUUAUUAAAUCCUUGUGGCCUAUUUGGUGCUGUCCUGGACUUGAUAAGUCUUUUCUCACCAAGAUGUUUUCAAGAACUAGUAUGGUCUUGAUGAUAUGAUUCAUUUGACAGCAUUUUUGGUUUCAUAACCAGAUUCAUAAAAAAUGAAACAAUUCCCAAUGAAUUCUAGGCUGUUAUUCCUAUAAUAAAUCACACAUUGUCUUGCUAAAUAAAUCUGAUUGAAUGUAAAUAUAUGUAAGGGUCUUGUGUUUGCCAUCAUAAUUCAGUUAUCCAGUUAAAAGCUAUGCUUCAAAAAUCAUGAAAUAGGCUUAAAAUGGAUGCAAAAAUAGUAAAUGUUAAAUCCUUUUUACCUGUCUACUGUUUUUCUUGGCCAUGCAAUUGUAUCACAUUUUAAAACUUUAUCUUUUGUACCUGUGAAAUGUACUUGAUUUUUGUUAAUGGAAAGUGGGAUUUUCUUCUACUCCCCUUGUCUCUAGGAAUUAUGACUGUAAGAUAGCAUGAUGACUCAUGAUUGUAUUAUGGGAGGUAGUGAUAUUGCUCAAAAGAAACUGGUAUCAGGUGAUGCAUAGAGGUCUCUCGAUUCUACAUUGUUCUGGUGUCAUUGGUGGGAAAUUCUUCAGUGAAAUAAAAUCAAAUGAAUAUUUCUUAAUAAAAUACAGGAAUGUGGA